GGAGGCGGUACUUCCUCCAGCAUUUGCCGCGAGUUAUUGGCAAGUUCCCCUGCAGUUGUUUGGGCUGUCGCUGUGGCUGGUUCUGCGGUGUGCGGCCAGCCAUGGAGCGCUCUGGGCCCAGCGAAGGUGACAGGCUCAGACGCAUCGGGACCGGACCCGCAGCUUGUGGUCACCAUGGGCUUCACGGGGUUCGGGGUUCGGGUAAAAAAGCUCACACAUUUGACUUGGAAGCAAUGUUUGAACAAACUCAAAGAACAGCUGUGGAAAGAAGUCACAAAACACUGGGGCCACCAGGAACACACCUGUAGCCCAGCAAAGUUGAGGCCAUCGACUGGCUCAUCACAACAAGGAAGGCUGUGCACCACUGGGACCCAGCAGCAGCUCAGCAGCAGCAGUGAGAGGGCCUUGGGAAAGACUUGGAGGGUUUGGCUUAUACAAGGACCAGAUUACAGAGGGGUAUUGAUUUGCCUUGCCCCCGCCCCCACCAUCACAGUGUGUCCCUGUCCAGUGUUGGUGCUGUGUGGCAUUGCUUGUGUCCAUAGGAGUCCAUCAAGGCAGAGCGGCAGAGCGGCAAGCAGAGCGGCAAGGCAGGUCAGCUUCCGGCUCUUCCAGGCUGCAUGUCCCCCUCAAUAUCCUGUUCAACCCAAUGGAAAUGGAUUGAAAGAGUGAAAGUCACUGGUCUCAAAGAAUCUACGGAAUUUAGCAUUUUGAAAAUCACAGAGCAAUUUUGGGUAGGUAUUCACAUGCACUAAAAAACCAGGCAAACAUCUGACUCCCAGGAUAAAGUGACUGAGAGCAGUAGAAGACUUGUUGAGCCUUAAGGAAUAAGAGGAAAAUUAUGUUAUGAAGUGCAGGAACAGCACAGACCCAGACGAGGGGAUGCAGCCCGGAGCCAGUAACCCGGCGCCUCCUCCUCCCCAGGGCGCAGCGCUGGCUGCUCCCCGGAUACCGUGAUCACACGUCCCAGGUCCUGAGAGCGCCUCAUAGGUAGACAGUUCUUUGGGACUUUUGGGACGCAGCACUUGAAGAGAGGUUUACCUAAACUUUCCUCCUGGGAGCCUGUCAUCAUUUGAAAGUAACAGAAGAAAGCUGUCAGGCUGAGGAAAGUUUCAACAGGCACUUGGUGAGAAUGGGAAGCAUCCAUUCAUUGGGAAAUCACGGGGACAGAGGAGGAAUUCACGGGAUCAGAGCACUGAGAAACUCCAGAGGCUUCUGGUUCACCGCCCUGAUUCCACAGAUGUGGGUCAGAGGCAGAGAUGGAAGUUGGAAUGGACAAGCCUGCCCUCUCCUCAGCUCUCCAUGGCUCUGUCCUCAGGCUGUUUCUGCAAUUUGACAUGAGGCCUGGCCCCAGGGAAACCAGUGGGGCCUCAUCUCCUCCCUGUGCUGCUCUGAGGUGGAGCCUUCUCAGGGUCAGUCCAGCUCUGGAGCCCCUCUCCAGCUCGGUCACCAAAGCUGUCUGGUCCCAGGGCAGUGUGGAGUGACAGGCACGCCAGCCAAUCCAAUCGGCCAUUUCAUACCCAAUGCAUGUGACUGAUAAAGAGAUAACACCCUGUCUCCAAGACACAGGCUUUACAUAAACAGCUUUAAUGACUUCUUCACUUAGGGACAAGACUCCUUAGUGGUGGAACCUCAGGCAUCCAUGCAGGAUGUAAGAAAGCUCCCGUAUAUACAUGAACUGAGAAGUGUGUAGAAGAGUAAAUACUGUAAUAGGUAAUAAAAUGUAUGUAUUUUUAUUUAUGUGCUACUUUGUCUUUCUCCCUCUCUGUGUAUAUACACAUACAUACAAAAAUGUAUUCAUUCUAUGGAAAACAUGAAAGAUGUAAUAUUCUUUACAUAUUUAAUUAAUGUAUUUUUUCUGAUCAUAUGAACACCACAAAUAUAAUUUUAUAAUUUUUUUACCUAACAAUAAGUCUUAAACAUAAAUAUACAUGGACAAUAUCAUAGUUUUUUUUUUAAUCAUAAUUAAAAUGGUUGUGAAACAU
rnacentral:lncRNA from 1 species